UGGGGAAUAUUGCACAAUGGGGGAAACCCUGAUGCAGCGACGCCGCGUGAGCGAAGAAGGUUUUCGAAUCGUAAAGCUCUGUCCUAUGGGAAGAUAAUGACGGUACCAUAGGAGGAAGCCCCGGCUAACUACGUGCCAGCAGCCGCGGUAAUACGUAGGGGGCAAGCGUUGUCCGGAAUCACUGGGCGUAAAGGGUUCGCAGGCGGAAAUGCAAGUCAGUUGUGAAAGGCAGAGGCUCAACCUCUGUAAGCAAUUGAAACUGUAUUUCUUGAGAUGUGGAGAGGGAAGUGGAAUUCCUAGUGUAGCGGUGAAAUGCGUAGAUAUUAGGAAGAAUACCGGUGGCGAAGGCGACUUUCUGGCCAUAAUCUGACGCUGAGGUACGAAAGCGUGGGUAGCAAACAGG
rnacentral:rRNA from 1 species